rnacentral:tRNA from 1 species
AGUGGCCUAGUUUCUAAGACGUCCGCCUGGCAACCCAGGGGUCGUAGGUUCAA